rnacentral:snoRNA from 1 species
AAGUAAAAGACUGAGUUGCAACCUGAAUGUGUUUGUGCAGAGAUUUAGAAAAAGCUGGCGACAGUAAUGCCCUGAUACGAACCUUAAGGACAAUAACAGUCAUUAAGGUCCCUGAAAAUGGCUAUCACA